CAGCCGCGGUAAUACGAAGGGACCUAGCGUAGUUCGGAAUUACUGGGCGUAAAGCGCGCGUAGGCCGUUGAGUUAGUUAAUUGUGAAAUCCCAAAGCUUAACUUUGGAACUGCAAUKAAAACUGCUCGACUAGAGUUUGAUAGAGGAAAGCGGAAUACAUAGUGUAGAGGUGAAAUUCGUAGAUAUUAUGUAGAACACCAGGUGGCGAAGGCGGCUUUCUGGAUCAACACUGACGCUGAGGCGCGAAAGUAUGGGUAGCAAAGAGGAUUAGAUACCCUCGUAGUCCAUACCAUAAACGAUGAUUGCUAGAUGUCGGAAAUUUAUCUUCAGUAUCGCAAGCUAACGCAUAAAGCAAUCCGCCUGGGGAGUACGACCGCAAGGUUAAAACACAAAUGAAUKGACGGGGACCCGCACAAGCGGUGGAGCAUGUGGUKUAAUGCGAAGAUACKCKCAGAACCUUACCAACCCUUGACAUGUCUGUCGCGAGUUUAGGAAACUAGACUUUUCGGUUCGGCCGGACAGAACACAGGUGCUGCAUGGCUGUCGUCAGCUCGUGUCGUGAGAUGUUGGGUUAAGUCCCGCAACGAGCGCAACCUCUACUUUUAGUUGCCAUCAGUAAGUGCUGGGCACUCUGAACGAACUGCCAGUGAUAAGCUGGAGGAAGGUGGGGAUGACGWCAAGUCCUCAUGGCCCUURCGUUUUGGGCUACACWCGUGCUACAUUGGU
rnacentral:rRNA from 1 species